GACGUAGGAUGCAAGCGUUGUCCGGAUUUAUUGGGCGUAAAGAGUUCGUAGGCGGUUUGGUAAGUCUGAUGUUAAAGCUCGGGGCUCAACCCCGGGAGUGCAUUGGAUACUGCCAGACUCGAGUAUGGUAGAGGCGAGUGGAAUUCCCAGUGUAGCGGUGAAAUGCGUAGAUAUUGGGAAGAACACCGGUGGCGAAAGCGACUCGCUGGGCCAUUACUGACGCUGAGGAACGAAAGCUAGGGGAGCGAAUGGG
rnacentral:rRNA from 1 species